AAAUUGAAGAGUUUGAUCAUGGCUCAGAUUGAACGCUGGCGGCAGGCCUAACACAUGCAAGUCGAGCGGUAGCACAGAGAGCUUGCUCUCGGGUGACGAGCGGCGGACGGGUGAGUAAUGUCUGGGAAACUGCCUGAUGGAGGGGGAUAACUACUGGAAACGGUAGCUAAUACCGCAUAAUGUCGCAAGACCAAAGUGGGGGACCUUCGGGCCUCAUGCCAUCAGAUGUGCCCAGAUGGGAUUAGCUAGUAGGUGGGGUAAUGGCUCACCUAGGCGACGAUCCCUAGCUGGUCUGAGAGGAUGACCAGCCACACUGGAACUGAGACACGGUCCAGACUCCUACGGGAGGCAGCAGUGGGGAAUAUUGCACAAUGGGCGCAAGCCUGAUGCAGCCAUGCCGCGUGUGUGAAGAAGGCCUUCGGGUUGUAAAGCACUUUCAGCGGGGAGGAAGGCGAUAAGGUUAAUAACCUUGUCGAUUGACGUUACCCGCAGAAGAAGCACCGGCUAACUCCGUGCCAGCAGCCGCGGUAAUACGGAGGGUGCAAGCGUUAAUCGGAAUUACUGGGCGUAAAGCGCACGCAGGCGGUCUGUCAAGUCGGAUGUGAAAUCCCCGGGCUCAACCUAGGAACUGCAUUCGAAACUGGCAGGCUAGAGUCUUGUAGAGGGGGGUAGAAUUCCAGGUGUAGCGGUGAAAUGCGUAGAGAUCUGGAGGAAUACCGGUGGCGAAGGCGGCCCCCUGGACAAAGACUGACGCUCAGGUGCGAAAGCGUGGGGAGCAAACAGGAUUAGAUACCCUGGUAGUCCACGCCGUAAACGAUGUCGAUUUGGAGGUUGUGCCCUUGAGGCGUGGCUUCCGGAGCUAACGCGUUAAAUCGACCGCCUGGGGAGUACGGCCGCAAGGUUAAAACUCAAAUGAAUUGACGGGGGCCCGCACAAGCGGUGGAGCAUGUGGUUUAAUUCGAUGCAACGCGAAGAACCUUACCUGGUCUUGACAUCCACAGAACUU
rnacentral:rRNA from 1 species